rnacentral:ncRNA from 2 species
GCGAUGGAUAUGGAAGAGAGCCUUGCUAAAAGGCCGCCGAAGGGACAAGUCUUGAUUUACCCAAAAGGAUCAAGGUGAAAUUCUCAGGCAAAAGGACCAUAUUCGGACA